CCGGCGGGGGCGACCCCAGGGAAAGUGCCACAGAAAGGACACCGCCGCCUUUCCCCGGUAUGCGGGUGGGCGGCAAGGGUGAAACGGUGCGGUAAGAGCGCACCGCGCCGCCGGCAACGGCGGCGGCAGGGAAAACCCCACCGGGAGAAAGACCAAGUAGGAGCGGCAGGCGUCCCGGAGCGAUCCGGGAUCGCCGGGCGAGCCUCCGCGCCGCCGCUCGGGUCGGUCGCAGGAGGCGCUCGGUGACGAGCGUCCCAGAGGAAUGGCCAUCGCCGUCCCUCGGGAGUCCUCGAUGGGCGGAACAGAACCCGGCUUACACGCCGUCUGGCCCC
rnacentral:RNase_P_RNA from 1 species